rnacentral:rRNA from 1 species
AUAAUACUCCAUAGAUUAGAGACACUGGAAUGUUCUUUAGUCGAAAGUUCUGGCGCCUUAGGAUGGAUCUGCGGUCGAUUAGGUUGUUGUUGGGGUAACGGCCCAACAAGCCUGUAAUCGAUACGGGUUGCGGGAGCAAGAGCCCGGAGAUGGAAUCUGAGACACGAUUCCAGGCCCUACGGGGCGCAGCAGGCGCGAAAACUUUACAAUGCAGGAAACUGUGAUAAGGGAACUCCGAGUGCCCGUAUACGCGGGCUGUCCAGGUGUUUAAAAAUCAUCUGAAGAAAGGGCCGGGCAAGACCGGUGCCAGCCGCCGCGGUAAUACCGGCGGCUCGAGUGGUGGCCACUAUUAUUGGGCUUAAAGCGUCCGUAGCUGGACCGAUAAGUCUCUUGGGAAAUCCGCCGGCUCAACCGGCGGGCGUCUAAGGGAUACUGUUAGUCUAGGGACCGGGAGAGGUGAGAGGUACUCCGGGGGUAGGAGUGAAAUCCUGUAAUCCCCGGGGGACCACCGAUGGCGAAGGCAUCUCACCAGAACGGCUCCGACAGUGAGGGACGAAAGCUGGGGGAGCGAACCGGAUUAAAUACCCGGGUAGUCCCAGCCGUAAACUAUGCGCGUUAGGUGU